rnacentral:rRNA from 1 species
AUUGAACGCUGGCGGCAGGCCUAACACAUGCAAGUCGAACGAGUGGCGGACGGGUGAGUAAUGUCUGGGAAACUGCCUGAUGGAGGGGGAUAACUACUGGAAACGGUAGCUAAUACCGCCUACCAUCGGAUGUGCCCAGAUGGGAUUAGCUAGUAGGUGGGGUAAAGGCUUACCUAGUCGACGAUCGCUAGCUGGACUGAGAGGAUGACCAGCCACACGGGAACUGAGACAAGGUCCAGACUCCUACGGAAGACACCAGUGGGGAAUAUUGCGCAGUGGGCGAAAGCCUGAUACAGCAAUGCCGGGUGGAUGAAGACGACCUUCGGGUUGUAAAGUACUUUCAGCAGUGGGGCGUUAGCCGCAGAAGAAGCACCGGCUAACUCCGUGCCAGCAGCCGCGGUAAUUC